rnacentral:rRNA from 1 species
UCCGUAGGUGAACCUGCGGAGGGAUCAUUGCUGGAACUGUGCCCUCACGGGCACAAACCCCAGAUACCCUUUGUGAACUUAUACCAUUUUAUCGUUGCCUCGGCGCUGAGCCCCGGGGGGGUUGGUAUUGAAAGAGAAGAAAAAAAUACUUUUUUCUCUCUCUCUUCCCUCCCCCCCCCCGCCUUCUACCGUGCAAACGGUUGUUGGAGCAGGCCCGCCGGCGGCCCACCAAACUCUUUGUUUUUAUAACCUAUCUCUUCUGAGUACAUUAAAAAAAAAAAAUGAAUCAAAACUUUCAACAACGGAUCUCUUGGUUCUGGCAUCGAUGAAGAACGCAGCGAAAUGCGAUAAGUAAUGUGAAUUGCAGAAUUCAGUGAAUCAUCGAAUCUUUGAACGCACAUUGCGCCCGCUGGAAUUCCAGCGGGCAUGCCUGUUCGAGCGUCAUUUCAACCCUCAAGCCUGGCUUGGUGUUGGGGUACUACCCGUCAAACGGUAGGCCCUGAAAUUUAGUGGCGGGCUCGCUAAGACUCUGAGCGUAGUAGUUUUUUCAACCUCGCUUUGGAAGGAUUAGCGGUUGCUCUUGCCGUAAAACCCCCCCAAUCAUCUGAAAUUUUGACCUCGGAUCAGGUAGGAAUACCCGCUGAACUUAAGCAUAUCAAUAAGCGGAGGA